UGCUUGUCUCAAAGAUUAAGCCAUGCAAGUCUGAGUAUAAUUGUUUUACGGUGAAACUGCGAAUGGCUCAUUAAAUCAGUUAUAGUUUAUUUGAUGCUAUAGGCCGCAAGGUCACUACAUGGAUAUCUGUAGUAACAUAGAGCUAAUACAUGCAAUAUAGUCUGACUUUUUGGAAGGACUAGCACUUAUUAGAUAUUAAACCAAUCCCAGCAAUGGGUUUCUUGGUGAUUCAUAGUAACUGAACAAAUCACAUAGUCUUGUACUGGUGAUGUUUCAUUCAAAUUUCUGCCCUAUCAACUAGAUGGUAGUAUAUAGGACUACCAUGGUUGUAACGGGUAACGGAGGAUUAGGGUUUGAUUCCGGAGAAGGAGCAUGAGAAACGGCUACUAUUUCUAAGGAAAGCAGCAGGCGCGCAAAUUAUUCAAUGGAAACAAUUUUCCGAAAUAGUGACAAAAAAUAUCAAUGCUAGGUACUAUGUAUUUUAGUAAUUGAAAUGAGUACAAUUUAAA
rnacentral:rRNA from 1 species